UACGUAGGGUGCGAGCGUUAAUCGGAAUUACUGGGCGUAAAGCGUACGCAGGCGGCUUUGCAAGACAGGUGUGAAAUCCCCGGGCCUAACCUGGGAACUGCAUUUGUGACUGCAUGGCUAGAGUUUGUCAGAGGGGGGUGGAAUUCCACGUGUAGCAGUGAAAUGCGUAGAUAUGUGGAGGAACACCGAUGGCGAAGGCAGCCCCCUGGGAUGUGACUGACGCUCAUGCACGAAAGCGUGGGGAGCAAACAGG
rnacentral:rRNA from 1 species